CAUAUGACAGACGAUGGGGUUUGACGAGUUGUCCAUGACCUCCGUCCUGUAGGGAUCCACGAUAGUAGGAUUGUAUCACACGUUAACUGCACCUAGAGGUUCAUCAUUCUAUUCUUCUGGGUAGCCACUACAUGCUGCUAGGUGUCACUGGUGGAUGGUGGGACUCACAGGGAUUAUCUCGAUGAUCGAUUAACCCUAAUGAGUUUGAGUUGGAAUCGUUCCAACCCAUUGAAAGGAGUUUUCAAUGAUAUUGUGAUAGAGAUCGCAAUAUAUCUCACUACCAGUCAGAA
rnacentral:lncRNA from 1 species